rnacentral:rRNA from 1 species
AGAGUUUGAUCCUGGCUCAGAUUGAACGCUGGCGGCAGGCCUAACACAUGCAAGUCGAACGGUAACAGGAAGCAGCUUGCUGCUUUGCUGACGAGUGGCGGACGGGUGAGUAAUGUCUGGGAAACUGCCCGAUGGAGGGGGAUAACUACUGGAAACGGUAGCUAAUACCGCAUAAUGUCGCAAGACCAAAGAGGGGGACCUUCGGGCCUCUUGCCAUCGGAUGUGCCCAGAUGGGAUUAGCUUGUUGGUGAGGUAACGGCUCACCAAGGCGACGAUCCCUAGCUGGUCUGAGAGGAUGACCAGCCACACUGGAACUGAGACACGGUCCAGACUCCUACGGGAGGCAGCAGUGGGGAGUAUUGCACAAUGGGCGCAAGCCUGAUGCAGCCAUGCCGCGUGUAUGAAGAAGGCCUUCGGGUUGUAAAGUACUUUCAGCGGGGAGGAAGGGGUUAAGGUUAAUAACCUUAGCCAUUGACGUUACCCGCAGAAGAAGCACCGGCUAACUCCGUGCCAGCAGCCGCGGUAAUACGGAGGGUGCAAGCGUUAAUCGGAAUUACUGGGCGUAAAGCGCACGCAGGCGGUCUGUCAAGUCGGAUGUGAAAUCCCCGGGCUCAACCUGGGAACUGCAUUCGAAACUGGCAGGCUUGAGUCUCGUAGAGGGGGGUAGAAUUCCAGGUGUAGCGGUGAAAUGCGUAGAGAUCUGGAGGAAUACCGGUGGCGAAGGCGGCCCCUGGACGAAGACUGACGCUCAGG